rnacentral:rRNA from 1 species
AAGCUCGUAGUUGAAUUUCGGGGUUCUACCGUUGGUCGGGCUAACCAGUCUGUACUAGCGUGUAGAAUUCCUACCUUCUGGGGAACCAUCAUGUUAUUAAUUUAGCGUGGCGGGAAACCAGGACCUUUACCUUGAAAAAAUUAGAGUGUUCAAAGCAGGCUUACGUCUGAAUACAUUAGCAUGGAAUAAUAAAAUAGGACGGUGGUCCUGUUUUGUUGGUUUCUGAAUCACCGUAAUGAUUAAUAGGAUAGUUGGG